rnacentral:rRNA from 1 species
ACGAACGCUGGCGGCGUGCUUAACACAUGCAAGUCGAACGGAAAGGCCCUGCUUGCAGGGUACUCGAGUGGCGAACGGGUGAGUAACACGUGGGUGAUCUGCCCUGCACUUCGGGAUAAGCCUGGGAAACUGGGUCUAAUACCGGAUAGGAGCCAUUUUUAGUGUGAUGGUUGGAAAGUUUUUUCGGUGUAGGAUGAGCUCGCGGCCUAUCAGCUUGUUGGUGGGGUAAUGGCCUACCAAGGCGGCGACGGGUAGCCGGCCUGAGAGGGUGGACGGCCACAUUGGGGCUGAGAUACGGCCCAGACUCCUACGGGAGGCAGCAGUGGGGAAUAUUGCACAAUGGGCGCAAGCCUGAUGCAGCGACGCCGCGUGGGGGAUGACGGCCUUCGGGUUGUAAACUCCUUUCGCUAGGGACGAAGCUUUUUGUGACGGUACCUAGAUAAGAAGCACCGGCUAACUACGUG